rnacentral:lncRNA from 1 species
AGAUAGUCUAAAAGAUUGUAAAAAUUGAACACGACAGCUGGUUUAUAGUCUCGAAUUUGUUGAUAAAAAUUGUAGCAAUAAAUGUAAGAACGAAUGCUUAGGACAUUGGUUUGUGGUGAAAACGAACUUCAUCAAAUUGUUAGAUUUUUCUGAUACAAUUCCGAAUUCUUUGGACUAUGUUUGCAAGUGGCUUCAAAUAUUCUCGUACAAAUUGG